CUGCUGGACUUCUGACUGGAGUUGGUCUACCAUGAAUCGCAUUUCUGACACCAAGAUUCCUCUUGUUGUUUGGUAGUGGUCAACAGAGUGAAAACUUGACUCUUGUUAUCCUCAACUUUUGCAGCAAGGUCCGCGAGUUGAUUUUUGUUUUGAGAAGAAGUGGCUUUCAUUUCUUGGGAGUUGGUAGAACGUUGGGUAGGUCGUGCUGUGCACUUGAAAGAGAUCCUCCUUCGGAUGAUGUGCAUAGUUGCAUGUUAGCCACUUGUGGUGCCCAGGUGAGAGUUUGCACGGGAGUGCUGCCAGCCAGAACAGGAGAAGACAUUAGCAU